rnacentral:snRNA from 1 species
AGCUUUGCGCAGUGGCAGUAUCGUAGCCAAUGAGGUUUAUCCGAGGCGCGAUUAUUGCUAAUUAAAGUGGGAUACUUUGGGGAAGUGAAUUUGUUAAUAACCCGAAAUACCAGCACUCUCUCAGGCAAACCAAGAU